ensembl:antisense Dnm3os dynamin 3, opposite strand
GCAAAUGUGCCACGUCAAGACUGGAAAUCACAGCCCUUUAGUGUGUCUCAGUCGAUGCAGCAGACAGGGUUCAAGGGGGAAGCUGAACAAGCCCCUGGUGCAGGAAGACAGGCUCUCCCCAGCCCCGGGACAGGAUUUUCCACACACCGAUGGAAGCUUCAGGAGAUCCUGCUCCGGACUCUGCCAGGGGAGAGGACUGCUCCAGGGAAGACCAGCGGGGAUGGUGGAAUCUAGGGCAGAAGAGAGUAACCAGCAGCAAACAUCUUGCUCUGGAUAGUAUGGUAAGUCUAAAUAGAAAAGCUGUACCGUUCCUUUACUUGAGCAGAGUAAACUGGAUCAGAUUACUUAAGGGAGAGGGGAAAGCAAUACAGAAUUAUAGUAACUUUUAACGGCUGCUAAUAUAUUCUUCGUAAGUGAAUCACUCUAUUAUGCUUUUCUGUUGUACUGAAUGAAACAACAAAGGAAAUAGUAUUUCAAGGUAUUCCAUUUUUGUAUACUUGACUUUGUAACUACUUGAAUAGCAGCCAAGCUCUUGUGCUCUGAAGUGUUGGACAGAA